rnacentral:lncRNA from 1 species
CUUAAGGGUGCUUGAACAAUGGGCUCCGAAUCUGAUCUAGUCAAAUCUGGUUCAGGUUCAGCAACUUGUGUCGGUUUUUCCACCUGUCGAACUUCAUCAAGUUCGACCUUAGAGGCAACAGUCCCUUCAUCAAGGAACUCUUUUUUCAAAAAGAUUGCCUUAAGUCUGACAAACACCUUUUGCUCAUCAGCCAGGUAGAAAUAAUAUCCUUUGGUCUCUUUUGGGUAUCCUGUAAAAUUACACUUGUC